AAAUAGUGGAAACCAGGAAAUUCAUAUGUUUAUAUGGUGCUUUCAAUUAAACAGCAAGAGAUUGUCAGUACUUUCCUGCUGAUGAAGUCAGAAAAGCAAGAAAAUAGGGGGAAAGGAAAAAUUGAAGGAGAGAGAAAAUGUAGGAAGAUAUGGAAGAGGAAAGAUGCAGGAGAACAAACUCAGCAGAAAGGAAAUAGGCAGUGCUACUGUGGGAACCCUCCAUUAAACAGAGGAAAUAACCAAAAUAACCAACCACAGCCAUCACAGAAGGC